rnacentral:rRNA from 1 species
CUGCUUUCGGGCGGGACGAGACCGGCGUACGGGUGCGUAACGCGUAUGCAACCUACCUUCAGCAGGGGGAUAGCCCGUGGAAACAUGGAUUAAUACCCCAUAAAGCAGGGGUUCCGCAUGGGACUAUUUGCUAAAGCUACGGUGGCUGAAGAUGGGCAUGCGUCUGAUUAGUUAGUUGGUGAGGUAACGGCUCACCAAGGCGAUGAUCAGUAGGGGUUCUGAGAGGAUGAUCCCCCACACUGGUACUGAGACACGGACCAGACUCCUACGGGAGGCAGCAGUAGGGAAUAUUGGGCAAUGGGCGAGAGCCUGACCCAGCCAUGCCGCGUGCAGGAAGACGGCCUUCUGGGUUGUAAACUGCUUUUAUCAGGGAAGAAAGAGGUGCUGCGGCGCCAGUUGACUGUACCUGAUGAAUAAGCACCGGCUAACUCCGUGCCAGCAGCCGCGGUAAUACGGAGGGUGCAAGCGUUGUCCGGAUUUAUUGGGUUUAAAGGGUGCGUAGGCGGAUUAUUAAGUCAGUGGUGAAAGUCUGCGGCUCAACCGCAGGAGUGCCAUUGAUACUGGUAGUCUUGAGUACAGUAGAGGUAGGCGGAAUUUAUGGUGUAGCGGUGAAAUGCAUAGAUACCAUAAAGAACACCGAUAGCGUAGGCAGCUUACUAUGCUGUAACUGACGCUGAGGCACGAAAGCGUGGGGAUCGAACAGGAUUAGAUACCCUGGUA